CUUAGUAACGGCGAGUGAAGCGGGAAGAGCUCAAAUUUGAAAUCUUCAAGGUUUUACCUUGACGAAUUGUAGUUUAAAGAAGUGUUUUCUGUUGAAGUUUUGGUAAAAGUUCUUUGGAAUAGGACAUCAUAGAGGGUGAGAAUCCCGUAUUUGACCAUUAUUUUCAGCUGUGUGAUACACUUUCAAAGAGUCGGAUUGUUUGGGAAUGCAGUCCAAAAUGGGUGGUAAAUUUCAUCUAAAGCUAAAUAUUGGCGAGAGACCGAUAGCGAACAAGUACCGUGAGGGAAAGAUGAAAAGAACUUUGAAAAGAGAGUUAAACAGUACGUGAAAUUGUCAAAAGGGAAGCGUUUGACACCAGUGUUGUUUUCUCGAAAAUCAAUUAAAAAAAGUUGGAUUUUGUGUUGUAUUGACCUUAACAGCUUGCUUCACUCUUUUCCUGCUUUUUUUAAUGCACUUUUCGUUUAACAAGUCAACAUCAGUUUCUUUUGUUGUAAAAGGGUCAUUGGAAGGUGGCUUUCUCUUCGGAGAAAGUGUUUAUAGCCUUUGAUCUCUGCAAUCGGAGAGACUGAGGUCUGCAGCGUAGAUCCUUCGGGGUUAGAUACAUUUGUGCUAAGCUACAGCUUUUCAUAGACAACUUGUUGACUAUGUUUAGUCUUGUGACUUACCCGCUUAUGCUAUUUUACCUACGCUUAGGAUGUUGACAAAAUGGUUUUAAACGACCCGUCU
rnacentral:rRNA from 1 species